CUCCAAUUAACCAAAUGCACCCAUUUCACACUGUGUCCACAUGAAAUCUUUCAUAGCAGGUGUAAAGGGAGAAGAACAAAUAAACAACUUACCGUCUACGCAUUUGUCGCGAGCCGGCGACGCAGAGCACUGUCCAGCAGUGCCUCAAACCUGAAAGAGCAGCGGGGUGGAGAUGGGGCAGAGAGAAAGGAAGGACGCCAAGACAAGAGUCUGAUCAAGGCGGCGUUUAUUGCCUGCAAGCACCGGCCUUUUAAAGCAAAAAAAAAAACAAAAAAACCACAAACUAUUAUGGGAUGGGUUUACCAUAGUAACUGAAAGGUCACACAGGAAAAGAGCAAACAGGUUCACCAAAACAACCCACCGUGAGUAGUAGUAACCCGGACAACCACACAUCUGAAGGUCA
rnacentral:lncRNA from 1 species